UACGUAGGGUGCAGGCGUUAAUCGGAAUUACUGGGCGUAAAGCGUGCGCAGGCGGCCUCUUAAGUCAGAUGUGAAAUCCCCGGGCUUAACCUGGGAACUGCGUUUGAAACUGGGAGGCUUGAGUGUGGAAGAGGGGGGUGGAAUUCCAGGUGUAGCAGUGAAAUGCGUAGAGAUCUGGAGGAACACCGAUGGCGAAGGCAGCCCCCUGGGCUGACACUGACGCUCAUGCACGAAAGCGUGGGGAGCAAACGGG
rnacentral:rRNA from 1 species